rnacentral:ncRNA from 2 species
CGAUGAGAUAGAGGUUGCAAUGAACAAGAGUAGUAGAAACGAGACACAUAGAAUCGACGAGUUUCCACGUCAGGGCUCAUGGCCAAAGUUUGCGGCGAACUCUGACGCCAUAAACCGGGCCUGUAUCCGAACAAGGACAGGACUGUCAUCGUUGUAACAAACGAUGAGAAGUUGGAUACGAU